GACGAACGCUGGCGGUGUGCUUCACACAUGCAAGUCGAACGAGGUAGCAAUACCUAGUGGCGGACGGGUGAGUAACGCGUGGGAAUCUGCCUUGAGAUGGGGGAUAACGAGCCGAAAGGCUCGCUAAUACCGCAUAUGCCGAAAGGUGAAAGGAGUAAUCCGUCUUAAGAUGAGCCCGCGUCCGAUUAGCUAGUUGGUGGGGUAAAGGCCUACCAAGGCGACGAUCGGUAGCUGGUCUGAGAGGAUGAUCAGCCACAAUGGGACUGAGACACGGCCCAUACUCCUACGGGAGGCAGCAGUGGGGAAUUUUACGCAAUGGGGGAAACCCUGACGUAGCGACACCGCGUGAGCGAAGAAGCCCUUUGGGGUGUAAAGCUCUGUCAGCUGGAACGAAAAAAAUGACGG
rnacentral:rRNA from 1 species